UCUUCGUUCAGUUCGGUAGAACGUGUGUCUCCAAAACCCAAUGUCGUAGGUUCAAAUCCUACAGA
rnacentral:tRNA from 1 species